rnacentral:lncRNA from 1 species
CUAAGAGCACCGCCACUGCGCUCGCCCUCGCCAGCUCCGGGCUCCGGAGACUCGAAAGCCGCCGCCCAGCACGCUGCUCCUGGCACCUGAAGACCAGCUCCGGGCUGGGCGGGCAACCACAGAGUGACUUGUGACGAUGCCAGGCAGAGAGCGAAGUGAGUAGUCAAAGAAAACUCACCCUGGACAAACCGGCUGCUGGCAUCUCAGCUGCCGGGGUGGGAAGCGCCCUCUGCGGGAAUGAAGUCAUCCUACCCUUUUCUGGGUGCGCCCAGAUAACCGACCAGAGCGUUCCUUUCCCAAGCUCUGGGGCCUGAGGACUUCCAGCUACUCCACCAGGUUCUCAGGUCCUGGACUCCGUCCUAAUUCCUCACCUCCUACUGCGAGCCUUGCACAGGACGAGAGAAGGUUUGCCGUGACAGCAAAGAGCUUUGUUUCAUCUACAGUAGGAAAAUGUGCCAACCAGCCUGCGGGAGAGGCUCAGGAGGCUCCUGAAGCAGUGUGCCUGAAGGCAGCCGGGGGACCACAUUCGUGGCUGCAAGAUACACCUGAUGGGGCCACUUGCUCUUGGUCUGAAGCUGCAGAAGGAAAGAAAUGGCCAAUUCUGCAGUUAAAUCGUCCGGCAGAUAAAGGAAAGGCUGACAAAUCUACCUAGCAGCUGCCACUGCUAAGAGAGAAUGGCGCACCAUUUCCUCUAAAGAGUAGAAAUCACACAACAAACAGGGCCUGCAGAUUGUGGUUAUCAGUCUGGAUGCGAACUUGACCUAACACUGGAAAAAUGCAAAUCCACAAGCACAGAACUGAGACUUCCUAUCUGGUUAGCCAGCUGCUUCCAUACUCAGCCAUCGAUACGUUCUUCGAACUGGUCCUUCUCUUCCCUACAACUACCCAGUGACAACAGGGGUCUUCGGUCACUCAAGGCCAGAGACCUCGGCCUCUAGAGUAUGGAGGGAGCCAUCAGCUUGAUGCAAGCUCUUUGAAGCAGGAUAUAAAAACAUGAAGGCAACAGUCAGGCAUCAUAACAUUUUAUGGUGAACUGAAGAAACGCAGGCUUGCACAGGCCGGUUAACAUUUCAGAAGACAUGCCGGUGCUUGACCUAAAGCAAGGCGGCCCACAAGUGGACUGAAAAACAAUACUAGCUCUCUCUCACAGGGCUUGAGGAGAGUGAUGAAGACGUUUUUUUUUUUUUUUCCAGGUGGAAUAAAAACAAAAACAAAACCCAAAACCAACCAAACAAAAACACAGCCAAGAGGAUGGGGACCGAAGCAUUCCAUGUGGAGCCUCUACUGUUUUAGUUACCCUGAGAGAGGGGAGGACCCCUGACUUCAAUUGGAGAGAGACUACGUAUGCCCUUGGGAAGAAGGCAGCGUGGCUCUUUUCAGCCUGGAGCCGAACUGCUUCCAUGAGCCAGGCAUAAGGCUGCAAAGAGGACCAGAGGAGGAAAACACUGUAAUACUGAGAUAUCAGCAGGUUAACAAUUGUGAAUGCUUCCUUAGCUGGGUGAACCCAAUUCACCACCAGCAAGCAGGAAUUCACAGUAAAGAGUGAGCUCCAAGAACUAAACAGGCAGAGUUCUUUCUAGAAUAAACCAAGGUCGUUGUGGAGGUUGCUGGCAAGGAAGUCUGAAGUGGCCUGGACUACAAGGACUUGUGUUGAAGGGGGGGGGGGGGAAAGACUUGUUUUCAUUGCUCUGCUCAUGGGCACAAAUAGUGACUCUGAAGUCUUGAAAACCCCAACACAGCACUACAGCCCAUUAUGUCACUGCGGUUUUGUUUUAAAAGGACAAAGAGGCAAGUUAGAACCCGAGCCUGCUGCCAGCCUCAGUGCUGACUUUUUCCUCUCCUUGUGAGUUUAGGCACCAUCUCAGUAC